GUGGGUCGUUUCUUGGUCUAAUAAGAGUACAAUAAUAUUUUGUACAAAAUUGAUGUGGAAUAUCGUAAAAAUUAUAGUUGAAAAUAUUAUAUACAAUAGUUAGUUGCUUUAAUAAUACCGUCGCUUGUGUGAAGAAUAUUUUAUUUUUUAUAUUAUAUUAAAGUGUUUGCGACGUGAUGCCUCCAUCAAGAGAGUGGUGCUUUUAGCGUUCGGCCAAAAUUCUUGCACAUGGGUCC
rnacentral:lncRNA from 1 species